CACCUGGGCGGAAUGCCUUACACAUGCAAGUCGAACGAAGGCUUCGGCCUUAGUGGCGCACGGGUGAGUAACGCGUGGGAAUCUGCCUUGGGGUACGGAAUAACUCAGGGAAACUUGAGCUAAUACCGUAUGAUGUCGCGAGACCAAAGAUUUAUCGCCCUGAGAUGAGCCCGCGUUGGAUUAGCUAGUUGGUGGGGUAAAGGCCUACCAAGGCGACGAUCCAUAGCUGGUCUGAGAGGAUGAUCAGCCACACUGGGACUGAGACACGGCCCAGACUCCUACGGGAGGCAGCAGUGGGGAAUAUUGGACAAUGGGCGCAAGCCUGAUCCAGCAAUUCCGCGUGAGCGAAGAAGGCCUUCGGGUUGUAAAGCUCUUUCGGCGGGGACGAUAAUGACGGUACCCGCAGAAGAAGCCCCGGCUAACUCCGUGCCAGCAGCCGCGGUAAUACGGAGGGGGCUAGCGUUGUUCGGAAUCACUGGGCGUAAAGCGCACGUAGGCGGCUACUCCAGUCAGAGGUGAAAGCCCGGGGCUCAACUCCGGAAUUGCCUUUGAAACUAGGUAGCUUGAACGUCGGAGAGGUAAGUGGAAUUCCGAGUGUAGAGGUGAAAUUCGUAGAUAUUCGGAAGAACACCAGUGGCGAAGGCGACUUACUGGACGACUGUUGACGCUGAGGUGCGAAAGCGUGGGGAGCAAACAGGGAUUAGAUACCGUGGUAGUCCACGCCGUAAACGAUGGAAACUAGUUGUCGGGGUGCUUGGCACUUCCGUGACGCAGCUAACGCAUUAAGUUUCCCGCCCUGGGGAGUACGGGCCGCAAGGUUAAAACUCAAAGGAAUUGACGGGGGCCCUGCACAAGUCGGUGGGGAGCAUGUGGUAUAAUUACGAAAGCGAGCGCUGUCAAAAUCUUACCAGGCCCAUGACAAUCCCCGGGUCGGCGAUUUCCCAGAGAUGGAUUUCAUCAAGUAGGCCUGGACCGGUGACAGGUGCUGCAUGGCCUGUCGGUCAGCUCCGGUCGGUGAAAUGGUUGGGAUUAGUUCCCGCUCACGAGCGCAAGCAUCGUGAUAGUUGGCCGACCCCAGUUCUAGCUUGCAGC
rnacentral:rRNA from 1 species